rnacentral:rRNA from 1 species
GAUGAACGCUGGCGGCAUGCUUAACACAUGCGAGUCGAACGGGAAGUGGUGUUUCCCGUGGCGAACGGGUGAGUAACGCGUAAGAACCUGCCCUUGGGGGGGGAACAACAACUGGAAACGGUUGCUAAUACCCCGUAGGCUGAGGAGCAAAAGGAGAAAUCCGCCCAAGGAGGGGCUCGCGUCUGAUUAGCUAGUUGGUGAGGUAAUAGCUUACCAAGGCGAUGAUCAGUAGCUGGUCCGAGAGGAUGAUCAGCCACACUGGGACUGAGACACGGCCCAGACUCCUACGGGAGGCAGCAGUGGGGAAUUUUCCGCAAUGGGCGAAAGCCUGACGGAGCAAUGCCGCGUGGAGGUGGAAGGCCUACGGGUCGUCAACUUCUUUUCUCGGAGAAGAAACAAUGACGGUAUCUGAGGAAUAAGCAUCGGCUAACUCUGUG